AUCUGGGCGGCGGAAUUCAGGGUGACUGGCGGCGGCGGCGGCUCUCGCCGUCGUCGUCGGUCGCUUGAUAUUUCCGUCGCCAACUAACCGCAGACGUCGCGACCUGUUCGCGGUCGGUCGCUGAGCCGCGUUCGAGCUCGUUGUGUGCGUGUUUCGGCGCGUCACACGGCGAAGGCGCGGAUUUCUGGCUGGCCGUCGGACAGUACGCUUAACGGUGUCCGGUGUCGUCGUUUGCGCGGCAUCGGUACCGGUCAGCGACGAAUUCUUCGGGCCUCUUUCCGACCCGUCUUGAAACACGGACCAAGGAGUCUAACAUGCGCGCGAGUCGCGGGGUAUCGAGCGUACUUCGGUGCGUUCGUUAUGUUGCGAAACCCGUACAUGUCGAAGGCGUAAUGAAAGUGAAUGGGGAAGAUGGUGUUCCGAGUACACGUUCCGCGAUCGUCGGUAUCGCGGCCGGGCACCCGCAUUCCCGGGGCGUCUCAACGGCCCGUCGUUGAUGCGGACGGUCGUCUUUCGGGGCGGCCGUCGGUCGGCGACGAACCGA
rnacentral:rRNA from 1 species